rnacentral:lncRNA from 1 species
AUGGAAGGGCUGAGAAAACGGAUUCCACCAAAGAUGAUCCCAGAAGUGCAGCUCAUCGAACCACACCUCUGCUGCUGGACCCGGCCAGGGCCCAGGCAGCCAGGAGCCCACGGUGCCAGCUCUGGAGCAAGUCCUGCGUCUGCAAAGGGGACAGGAAUCAGCCCCAGGAGCGCAGGCGUGGGAAGAGUGGUGCCUGGGAAAGGCGUAAAGUGUGAGGUGUCUGUUUGCCAAGCGACCCACUUAGCCACGUUUUCCAGUGUUGGUGCCGCCUGGAGACAGAAUGAGAAAACACUCAGAGUGCUCCUCUGUCCAAGACCCACGAGGCUCACUUUCUCAUAAAACCUGUGAUGUUUGAGAUUUGGACUUCAGUAGUUAACUGUGCCAUUGUGGUUCUAAAUGUAACUGAUUUAGUUUUUUCAUACAGCAAAAAACCCUUUUCUAUGUCCUAGGGAUACAGCGGUCAGAUUCAGGCAAACAGAUAGUCUGCUUAGAAGCACAAAAAGAUGCUUAUGUUGUGGGCAUGCGAAUGGUCCUCUCCACCCCCUGCUCCGAGUUACUCACCUCCAGCAGCGCUUCCCAGAUUGAGCGCAAGCGAGGGUCCCAUAGGACCCUGGUACCCUGUGUGGACUUGCUCACUCCCCCAGGCGAGCCCAACUCCACACUUCUGACUGGCCACACAAAAUGGGUUCACAGUUGCCAAGCUCUGGACAGAUGUGCUCUGUGGAAACAUCUCCCAGGGAGAUAAUGAGAUGGCAAUGAAAGCAGGACCUGAGAACGAGCCCAGACAGGGGUGGAGUGACAGAGAGGCAGUUCAGACGGGAAAGAAAGAUUUUUUUUUAACUGUUAAGUUCAGGGGAACAAGGGCAGUUUUGUUACCUAGGUAAACUUGUGCCAUGGGGGUUUGUUGUAUUAAUUAUUUCAUUCCCCAGGUAUUAAGCCUAGUACUCAGCUAUUUUUCCUGGUCCCCUCCCUCCUCCCACCCAUCACCCUCUGAAAAGCUCCCCUCCAUGUGUCCAUGUGUUCUCCUCAUUUAGCGCCGACUUAUAAAUGUAAACAUGUGGUAUCUGGUUUUCCGUUCCUGUGCUAGUUUGCUAAGGAUAAUGGCCUCAGCUCCAUUUUACCCAUACGGGCAGGAGGGGAGCCAUGUGUAUAAGAAUCCGAUUUGGUUCUGGAAAUCUGGAGACUGCGGGUUUUUAGUCCUCGUCGGUGAUG